rnacentral:lncRNA from 1 species
GGGAAAGGGUGGACCAUUUAUACAAAAAGCCCAGGUCCAUAUAAAGAGCUAUACGCUUGGGAGUACAGUGGCUCACACCUGCCAUCUCAGCAUUUUCAGAGGCCAAGUGGGGAAUUGCUUGAUACCAGGAGUUCAAGACCAGCCUGAGCAACACAGGGAGACCACAUCUCUACAAAAGAUUAUUUUUAAAAAUUAGCUGGGCUGAGUGGCAUGUGCCUGUGAUCCCAGCUACUUGGGAAGCUGAGGUGGAAGGAUUAUUUGAGCCCAGGAGGUCUAGGCUGCAGUGUGCAAUGAUUCAGCCAUUGCACUCCAGCCUAGAUGACAGAGCAAGACCCAGUCUCAAAAAAAAGAUUAUGAAUGGCUAGUAAGCAUGUGAAAAUAUGCUUGACAUCAUUACUCAUUAAGGAAAUGCAAAAC